GCCUGGCUGGCUCUGUCAGUAGAGCAUGAGACUCUUGUCCUCAGAGUCAUGAGUUCAAGUCCCAUACUGGGCA
rnacentral:tRNA from 1 species